GUGGUUUAAUUCGAUGAUACGCGAGGAACCUUACCUGGGCUUAAAUGUAGAGUGCAUUUUUUAGAGAUAGAAAUUCCCUUCGGGGCUUUCUGCAAGGUGCUGCAUGGUUGUCGUCAGCUCGUGCCGUGAGGUGUCGGGUUAAGUCCCAUAACGAGCGCAACCCUUAUCGUUAGUUGCCAUCUGGUAAUGCAGGGGACUCUAGCGAAACUGCCACCGUAAGGUGAGAGGAAGGUGGGGAUGACGUCAAAUCAGCACGGCCCUUAUGUCCAGGGCUACACACGUGUUACAAUGGUCGGUACAGAGGGCAGCUACCUGGUGACAGGAUGCUAAUCUCGAAAACCGGUCUCAGUUCGGAUCGAAGUCUGCAACUCGACUUCGUGAAGCUGGAUUCGCUAGUAAUCGCGCAUCAGCUAUGGCGCGGUGAAUACGUUCCCGGGCCUU
rnacentral:rRNA from 1 species